GUUUUAGUAGAGAUGGGGUUUCACCGUGUUAGCCAGGCUGGUCUUGAACUCCUGACCUCAAGUGAUCUGCCCACCUUGGCCUCCCAAAGUGCUGGGAUUACAGGCGUGAGCCACCGCACCUGGCCAAAACCUUUAUUUUCUCAAUGAAGCAGACAUUCACUCCACAGACCUUAUGUACUAUAUGCAGAACACUCAAUAAAUGCCUCUUGGCCCAGCUGAGGCUCAGUAGCUGAUCAUUCACUAAGAAGGCAGAGGGCUCUGCUGAUGCAAAAGGGAUACCGGGUUCAGGAUUUCAACUGGGGGAAGUUUCCAUUGAGCCUUCUAAGUGCAGGGAGCCUCCUGACCUCAAGUGAUCCGCAGAUCUCGGCGCCCCCAUAGAGUGUUGAAGCAUCCCGGGCCACCAUCUGUGGCCCAAAAGGUUUUUUAAGGGGCAAGAAUCCUUUUCUUGGCUUCUGCAGUCAGUCUCCUUGCCAGUGACAACAUCAGGGCAGCAGUGGAAAAAGACACGCUUUCAGUUGCUGGAUAAAGUGUCUUCACCGUCUUGGCAAGAAUCCCUUCACUGCCUGAGGGACCUGUCCUAGGUGCCAGAGUGAGCAGGGAGGAACACAGGUGUGUCUCGGUGGCUGGAGAACCCAGCCAGGACGACGCCCAGUUUGGAACUGUACCGAAGCUGAGCCCUGCCUUGCACGGCUGAAGCUUAGCCACAGAGGCGGAACUUCCCUGGCUUUUCCUGGAAGCGGAAGCCGUGAAAUGGCCAAAGCACAAGACAGGGUGGUGCAGUUUUGCUCCCGCGCGAUCACCGUUGGCCACGCGCCUCGGUCUCUAUCUGUAAAAGAGAUCCGCAUCUCUGGUAUUUGAUGCUGGAGAGAAAAAUGUGCGGCCUCCGCCCAACCUUGAGUUUCCUGCUCCACCGCGCCCUCUCGUGGUUAACUGGACUCACGGCUUUCUCGCCCCCAACCCCAACCACCUAAAUUGCGGUUCUCAACCUUGGCUGAGCGUGGGAAUCACCCGGGGACCUGCGAAACACCGAUGCCUGGGUACCGGACUCUAUCCGCGCCUCCCCCUGCGAGAGAUUCUGACUUAAUUGGCCUGAUGCAAUCCGGGCGUCCCCUGGGGAUCACAGUGUGCAGUCAAGGCUGGGAAACACUGACCCACCUCUGCUCUGCCAGGGAUCCUGCGUUUGGCUGACGACAUUUCUCUUGUCAGAGCCCACCGGACUCUGCUUUCCGGAUAUAAAGGAUCCUUUUGCAAGUCUAAACACCUCAAUGUCGGCAUCACACCCUCAAGCAUCCACCCUCUACUCCUGAAAUACUCAUGAUUAAUAUGUGCUUUUAAUUUCUAUUGCUGGAGAAAAUGUUUCUGAAAAAUUGCACUUACAUAAAUAGAUAAGGCAUAUUAUUUGUAUUAUCUGCUGACAACAUCCGUGAUGUGUGCAUGUGUGUGCUGCGUAUGCACAGAGCUUCCUCACUAUAAUUUCAGGAGCUUCUCAGGGCCUUAGGUCAGAGAUCCGCUAGCCGUGCCAGGGCACUCUGGCCCUAAUGUUAAAAAUAGACCAUGGCUUUAGCCACUCCUGUCAGUAUCUUGUCUCACUGCCCAGUGCUCCAUUCAUCAGGAGAAAUUCCUGAGCUGCUGCCCAGCCAGUCAGCCAGGCCCAACUGAAAUUCCCAGGGGGCCUGUGAGGGGGGUCACACGUACUCUUAGCUUCUAGGCUGGACCUCAGGACUCCUAGCAGAAGGAUAUCCACUGUGGCCCUGCGACCUUGUCAAUCGUUUGAUUCACAGCCUCUCAGUGACACUGGCACUCAAUGAGAUGGGCUCCUUUCAUGACACGGUCACCACCAUCAUCACAAUCUCC
rnacentral:lncRNA from 1 species